CCGUCAAUCUUGAAAAAUAAGCUGCUUACUUGGUUCACAUUACAGGUUUCCUCCUCUAUUUGAAAGUAGAGAGUUCCUCUGAAACCUUUUAUAUUUAACAAGAGGCUGUAAAGAACUAUGGUUCCUUGGAGAAAGACAACAAAUAAGGUGUAUGUUCAGAACUUUGGCUUUUCUCAAGCUCCUUUUUCUAAGGACCACUGCUAUCCAACUCUGGACAGAUCAUUUGGAGGCCAUGAGGUGCUAUGGAAAGAACAAUGUUAUAUCUCUGCAAACUGUGCAGUAUUG